rnacentral:hammerhead_ribozyme from 1 species
GCCUUGCUGAUGAGACCCACCAGGUCGAAACAGCUGUCCAGCAC